GUCUGCUCGGAAUUUUGGAAUUUAAGAGAGGAAGGAUGGGGGUAGGAGCUAAUGGGUGCGGACUCAGGUACAGGAGGCUGGAUCUUUAUCUCUAAAAUCCAAUUUUUGGGUUCGGAGACUAGUUCUCUUUUUGCUGCUUGGCUGCCGCCAUCAUGGGUCGCAUGCAUGCUCCCGGGAAGGGCCUGUCUCAGUCGGCUUUGCCCUAUCGCCGCAGCGUUCCCACUUGGCUGAAGUUAACGUCUGAUGACGUGAAGGAGCAGAUUUACAAACUGGCUAAGAAGGGGCUGACUCCCUCACAGAUCGGUGUGAUCCUGAGACUCACAUGGCAUUGCUCAAGUACGUUUUGUGACAAGCGAUAAAAUCUUGAGAAUCCUUAAGUCUAAAAGACUUGCUCCUGAUCUUCCUGAAGAUCUCUACCAUUUAAUUAAAAAAGCAGUCGCUGUUCGAAAGUAUCCUGAGAGGAAUAGAAAGGGUAAGGAUGCUAAAUUCGGUCUGAUUCUGAUAGCCGAAUUCAUCGAUUCGGUAUUACAAGACCAAACGAGUUCUUCCUCCCAAAUGGAAAUAUGAGUCAUCCACAGCCUCUGCCCUGGUUGCAUAAAUUUGUCUAUGAACCCAAAACAAUAAAAUAAUUCUUUAACUUAAAAAAUAAAUAAAUAAAUAAAAUAAAAUCUAAUUUUUGCAAUGCUAUGGUGAGGGAGGGAGGAUAUGCAGUGAUAGCCAAAGGCCUGGCAAGGUCUCCAGGGGGAGUUUACUCCCUUUCUCUAGGUUUGUUAUUGAAACUGCAAAACAGGUGGUUUGGCUACCUGGAGUAGCCAAAGAGAAUUUGUGUCAAGGCUUCUGCCCUUUGUCCCAGGGGAUCUAUCAUGAGACUAUGGUCACGAGGGGGAGAAGUCCCACUCCAGGUGGCCACAAGGGGGCAGGAGAGGCCUUCACCGAGGUCUAGGUGGAGCGGUAACGCGUUCUC